rnacentral:rRNA from 1 species
CAGUAGCCGCGGUAAAACGAAGGGGGCUAGCGUUGUUCGGAAUCACUGGGCGUAAAGCGCACGUAGGCGGAUUUUUAAGUCAGGGGUGAAAUCCCGAGGCUCAACCUCGGAACUGCCUUUGAUACUGGAAAUCUUGAGUCCGGGAGAGGUGAGUGGAACUGCGAGUGUAGAGGUGAAAUUCGUAGAUAUUCGCAAGAACACCAGUGGCGAAGGCGGCUCACUGGCCCGGAACUGACGCUGAGGUGCGAAAGCGUGGGGAGCAAACAGGAUUAGAUACCCCCGUAGUCCCUGUCUCUUAUAC